ensembl:lncRNA
GUUUCUUUCAGAAGUGGACUUAUCAAAGCAACAGUGUUGUUAAUUUGAAGAACAAUGGCAGAUACAAACCCAGAUAAAAUCCCUCAGUGCGAAAAGAGCAAACCAUGCCACGGUGAAGGCAAGGGUGAAGGCAAGGGUGAAGGCAAGGGAAAAGGACCAGGACAAGGGCAAGGUCAAGGCAAGGGUCAGGGUCAUGGUCACGGACACGGUCACGGACCUGGAAAGGAUGGAAAGGAUGGCAAAGGCAAACCAUAAUGAAAGGAGCUGAAUGAAGAGACGUCUGAAGUCUGUCUGAUGCUGUUGUUUUUUUUCUUGCACCAUGACUAAUAAACUAAAACAUGUAUAAUUAUACCACAUAUGUUUGUUUUUAAUUAAAUGAUCAUCAAUAAAGUGUUUGGUAUCAAAGAAUGGCUUUUAGAAUCGUUGACUCCUUAAGCUUUGAAAUUCCAAAUAUAAAACGAAAUGAAGUAGCUGUGGCAAGGUG